GUUUUAAUAGUUUAAACAAAACAAUGAUCUUGUAAAUCAUAAAUAGGAAAUUUUACCUUUAAAACU
rnacentral:tRNA from 1 species